rnacentral:rRNA from 1 species
AUUGAACGCUGGCGGCAGGCCUAACACAUGCAAGUCGAGCGAGCGGCGGACGGGUGAGUAAUGUCUGGGAAACUGCCUGUUGGAGGGGGAUAACUACUGGAAACGGUAGCUAAUACCGCAUACCAUCAGAUGUGCCCAGAUGGGAUUAGCUAGUAGGUGGGGUAACGGCUCACCUAGGCGACGAUCCCUAGCUGGGCUGAGAGGAUGACCAGCCACACUGGAACUGAGCCCCGGUCCAGACUCCUACGGGAGGCAGCAGUGGAGAAUAGUGCACAAUGGGCACAAGCCUGAUGCAGCCAUGCCGCGGAUGUGAAGAAGGCCUUCGGGUUGUAAAGCACUUUCGGCGGGGAGGCGUUACCCGCAGAAGAAGCACCGGCUAACUCCGUGCCAGCAGCCGCGGUAAUUC